rnacentral:rRNA from 1 species
GGCUACCGCUAUUGGAGUUCGAUUAAGCCAUGCGAGUCGAGAGUCUUAGGGACUCGGCGCACCGCUCAGUAACACGUGGGUAACCUGCCCUAUGCUGGGUAAUAACCUCGGGAAACUGAGAAUAAUACCCCAUAGUUCACCACGCCUGGAACGGUGGGUGGAUCAAAGCUCCGGCGGCAUAGGAUGGGCCUGCGACGUAUCAGGUUGUAGGGGGUGUAACGUACCCUCUAGCCAUCAACGCGUACGGGUGUUGGGAGACAUAGCCCGGAGAUGGAUUCUGAGACACGAAUCCAGACCCUACGGGGUGCAGCAGGCGCGAAAACUUGGCAAUGCGAGCAAUCGUGACCAGGGAACUCCAAGUGGCUGGGGUAAUACCCAGUUUUUUCUUGACUCUUCAAAGGUCUUGGAAUAAGGGGUGGGUAAGGACGGUGCCAGCCGCCGCGGUAAUACCGGCGCCUCAAGUGGUAGUCGCUUUUAUUGGGCCUAAAACGUCCGUAGCCGGUCUGGUACAUUCGUGGGUAAAUCAACCCGCUCAACGGGUUGAAUUCUGCGAGCACGGCCAGACUUGGGACCGGGAGAGGUGUGGGGUACUCUCAGGGUAGGGGUAAAAUCCUGUCAUCCUGAGAGGACCACCUGUUGCGAAGGCGCCACACUAGAACGGAUCCGACGGUCAGGGACGAAACCUAGGGGCACGAACCGGAUUAGAUACCCGGGUAGUCCUAGGUGUAAACGCUGUGGACUUGAUGUUGGGGGCGCUCCGAGCGCUCUCAGUGUCGAAGCGAAGGUGAUAAGUCCACUGCCUGGGGAGUACGGU